rnacentral:rRNA from 1 species
UGCAUGCUUUUACAGUAUGGAAAUUGGUGAUUUAUAAUAACUUAGCAAAUCGCAAAGUGAAAACAGGCGAUAAAUCAUUCAAGUUUCUGACCUAUCAGCUUUCGACGGUAUGGUAUUGGCUUACCGUGGCAGUGACGGUUAACGGGGGAUUAGGGUUCGAUUCCGGAGAGGGAGCCUGAGAAACGGCUACCACAUCUAAGGAAGGCAGCAGGCGCGCAAAUUACCCAAUUCUAACAGUUUAAGAGAGGUAGUAACAAGAAAUAACAAUACAAGGCAAUUAAAAUGCUUUGUAAUUGGAAUGAUAGAAAUUUAAACCCUUUUUAAAGUAUCAAUUGGAGGGCAAGUCUGGUGCCAGCAGCCGCGGUAAUUCCAGCUCCAAUAGCGUAUAUAAAAAUUGUUGCAGUUAAAAAGCUCGUAUUUGAAGUUCUGCUAAAAGUAACCGGUCUGCUUUUAAUAAAAGUGGUAUCUUGGUGUGUAUUUAGCAAUGAUGUCCUUUGAAGUGUUUUUUACUUUAUUGUAAUAAAGCAUAUUCAGGACUUUUACUUUGAGAAAAUUAGAGUGUUUCUAGCAGGCCAACGCUUUGAAUACUGCA